ensembl:lncRNA
ACCAUGAUUUAUGUAAAUUUACCUAAAUAAUAUGAAUGUUCAGGUUAAAAUUGUACAGUGAUAUUUAUUAUGUAAGUUUAGCUGAUUAAAGUUUAUGACUCUGCACUAAAAUAUUAUUUAAAUUGACAUCAUUAUUAUAAUAUUUAGGGUCAGACCCUACAGUAUUGAGAUUAAGAAAUCAAAUAUUCUAUAAAAUGUAAAUACACUGAACUCAUUUGGAUAUAUUUAAGUGAGACUCUACAAUAUUAUUUGACACAAAUCUAUCUAAAUCAAAAUUUUAAUAAUUUUCACACCAAACAUUUACUGGACUGAUUUAAACAUUAAAAUCACUCCUUUCUAAUCCUCUGCUGUACGUUCAAACCUGAGGCCUUAAACAGAAACACACAAGUAUCUGUUUGAAGGAACUUCUGCAGAGUCCUGGUUCCAGAACAUGAUGAUAGAAUUAUAGACAAACUUUAACAAAAGCUGCCUAAGAGUUUACAGGUUUUUAUGUUGGAUUUCUUCAGUAAUUUAAUGAGCGUUAUCAGCAAUAAUCAAGUGUUCAUUUGAUGAACUUCAUUUCCUAAAACAUCCAGAAUUGGAGCUCAUAUCUUUGACAGCUGUAAAGUUUCUGCUCCUUCAAAGUUCACAACACAAUGAAUUAAUUCCUAAAACACUCUCAAUGCUGGAGAACGUUUGUGAUGCUGAAGCAGUGAGCAGUUUUUCUGUUUCUUCUCUGGAGAUGCACAAUGAGGGACGUCUGCAGUGACUGAGAAAGAGUCUCACCACAUCCUGACAUGAGGAAAACGACUUUAUUGAAGACUACAAUGAGAAAAACUAUCAGACAGCAGAGGGCUGCAUUCAAGAGAAGAAGACCAUCAAACAUCCACGUCAGCUGAUAGAGGUCCAAGAGUCUCACCAAACAAACAACCUACAGAGUGAAGACCUCAAAUCUGAUUGGACGGCCUCCUAUUCAGCCACGCUGUUAGAUUGUUCCAGAUAAGACAAGAUCCUGCAGAGCCGUUCUACCACGAGCCUGACAGGAAGAACUCCAACAGCUACUGAAUGUUCCUGUGGUUCCCUCAAGGCUACAGGAGGAGUCCUACGAGGACGAGCCGGUCCACCUGAUGGUGGCCAGUUGCUGUGGUUCAAAGCCAACACCGACUACGUGGACUUCUACUGGACCACACGGAGGCCUUCAAACUGGACCACCAAGUUCACUGACUCCCCGACUCGUGGGUCUGAGGACGCCGCCGAGCCUCGGCCCAGCCGGCCUCCUGUCUGUGGGUGUUUGAGUGCUGAGAGGUUUGUGGAUGCAUGUGAACAUGUCUGUGUUGAAACAGCAGCUUUGGACUCAGUAACGCUGGGAAAAACCAAGAGCUCCUUUAUUUGUGACUUCCACUAAAAAACUGAUGAAAAUAAGUUUGCCAGGGUUCUGACUGAUAACAGAUUAUUAAAUAAUGAAAAUAAUCGUUUAAAUAUUUCUUUAAACAAUCCUUUUAGGUCUACAUUUCCUUUACACUGACUUCUUGGUAUAUGUACAACUAUUUUGGAUGGACUAUACCAUUAAGUCCAAUGUUCAAGGGUUCUUCUGGGAAUAUACCAUUAAACCAACCUUUUAGGUAAAUGUUCCAGGAUGUUGGGUAGAAUAUACCAUCAGAUCAACCUUUUAGGUCUACAUUGGAAGAUUUUAGAGUAGAAUAUUACUCCAAACCAUCCUUUAGGUCUACAUUUAAGGUGGAAUACUCCUUUACACCAAGAUUUUUUGGUCUCGAUUGAAGGAUUUUAGGUGGAAUAUUCCUUUGAAUGAACUUUUUAAGUUUAUGUUCAAGGAUGUUGGGUGGAAUAUACCAUCAGACCAACCUCCAAGGUCUACAGUAGUGAAUUUUAGCUGGAAUAUACCAUUAAACUCACCUUUUAAGUCUACAUUGGAGGAUUUUAGGUGGAAUUUUCUUCCAAACCAUCUUUUAGUCUACAUUUAAGGAUGUUUAGGAUGGUAUAUUCUUCCGAACCAACUUCUCAGGUCUUCAUUUCAGGUGGAAUAUUCCUCCAUACUAACUUUUUUGGUCUACAUUGAAAGAUUUUUUCUAAACCACCCUUUCGGGUCUAUAUUUGGGGUUUUAGGUGGAAUAUUCCUUUUAACCAGCCCCUCAGGUCUCUUUGAGGAUUUUGGAUGGAAUACUCAGUUAAAUCAACAUUUUAGGUGCAUGUCCAAGGAUUUUUGGUGGAAUGUUCCUUUAAGGUGGAUGUUUGAGGACCUUGUAGGUGGAAUACUUCCUGAAACUAACCUUUUAGGUCAACAUUCAAAGAUUUAAGGUGGAAUAUUCCUUUAAACCAACCUAAAUUUCAUGUUUUGAUCAUUAUCAAGUGAGAAACCUCAAUCCAGACUCCUCAUAAUGACGUUUGAGAUUUAUGCUGCUGUUAUUUGUUUAGUCCAGACUAAAUGACAGAAAUCCACAACUGUAAUUUUAUUUCAGGACUCGGUUAUUAAAUGUCAAAACAAUCCAUGUGACUCUAAAAACUCAACAGCUGAACUCUCCACAAGGAUCCAAAAUAAGUUGGACUUCUACAUGAGAGCUUUAAUUAUUCUUCAUCUACUACC